rnacentral:rRNA from 1 species
UACGGAGGGUGCAAGCGUUAUCCGGAUUCACUGGGUUUAAAGGGUGCGUAGGCGGGUUGGUAAGUCCGUGGUGAAAUCCCCAAGCUUAACUUGGGAACUGCCGUGGAUACUAUCAAUCUUGAAUAUCGUGGAGGUAAGCGGAAUAUGUCAUGUAGCGGUGAAAUGCUUAGAUAUGACAUAGAACACCAAUUGCAUAGGCAGCUUACUACACGAUCAUUGACGCUGAGGCACGAAAGCGUGGGGAGCAAACAGG